AAUAUUGCGCAAUGGAGGGAACUCUGACGCAGCGACGCCGCGUGAGCGAUGAAGGUCUUCGGAUCGUAAAGCUCUGUCCUUGGGGAAGAAGGGAGCCGUAAGGCUUCUUGACGGUACCCAUGGAGGAAGCCACGGCUAACUACGUGCCAGCAGCCGCGGUAAUACGUAGGUGGCAAGCGUUGUCCGGAUUUAUUGGGCGUAAAGCGCGCGCAGGCGGUCUUUUAAGUCUGAUGUGAAAUCUUACAGCUUAACUGUAAGCGGUCAUUGGAAACUGGGAGACUUGAGUGCAGGAGAGGAGAGUGGAAUUCCAUGUGUAGCGGUGAAAUGCGUAGAGAUAUGGAGGAACACCAGUGGCGAAGGCGACUCUCUGGUCUGUAACUGACGCUGAGGCGCGAAAGCUGGGGGAGCAAACA
rnacentral:rRNA from 1 species